CCGCGGUAAUACGUAGGGUGCGAGCGUUGUCCGGAAUUACUGGGCGUAAAGAGCUCGUAGGUGGUUUGUCGCGUUGUUCGUGAAAUCUCACGGCUUAACUGUGAGCGUGCGGGCGAUACGGGCAGACUAGAGUACUGCAGGGGAGACUGGAAUUCCUGGUGUAGCGGUGGAAUGCGCAGAUAUCAGGAGGAACACCGGUGGCGAAGGCGGGUCUCUGGGCAGUAACUGACGCUGAGGAGCGAAAGCGUGGGGAGCGAACAGGAUUAGAUACCCUGGUAGUCCACGCCGUAAACGGUG
rnacentral:rRNA from 1 species